rnacentral:rRNA from 1 species
CCUUAACCUGCUAAAUAGCUGUAACAAUAGAUUAUUGUUUUGACAGCUUCUUAGAGGGACUAUCGAUUUUCAAGUCGAUGGAAGUUUGAGGCAAUAACAGGUCUGUGAUGCCCUUAGACGUUCUGGGCCGCACGCGCGCUACACUGACGGAGCCAGCGAGUCUAACCUGUGCCGAGAGGUAUGGGUAAUCUUGUGAAACUCCGUCGUGCUGGGGAUAGAGCAUUGCAAUUAUUGCUCUUCAACGAGGAAUUCCUAGUAAGCGCAAGUCAUCAGCUUGCGUUGAUUACGUCCCUGCCCUUUGUACACACCGCCCGUCGCUACUACCGAUUGAAUGGCUUAGUGAGGCUUCCGGAUUGAUUAACUGGAGAGGGCAACUUUUCUGGUUGAACGAGAAGCUAGUCAAACUUGGUCAUUUAGAGGAAGUAAAAGUCG